GUUGUAUGGUUAAGUGACUAAGCGUACACGGUGGAUGCCUGGGCAGUCAGAGGCGAUGAAGGACGUACUAACUUGCGAUAAGCGCAGAUAAGGCAGUAAGAGCCGUUUGAGUCUGCGAUUUCCGAAUGGGGAAACCCAACUGCAUAAGCAGUUACUGUUAACUGAAUACAUAGGUUAACAGAGCAAACCGGGGGAACUGAAACAUCUAAGUACCCCGAGGAGAAGAAAUCAACCGAGAUUCCGGUAGUAGCGGCGAGCGAACCUGGAUUAGCCCUUAAGCGCUCGGUGAAGUAGGUGAACAAGCUGGAAAGCUUGGCGAUACAGGGUGAUAGCCCCGUAACCGACGCUUCAUCGAGCGUGAAAUCGAGUAGGGCGGGACACGUGAUAUCCUGUCUGAAUAUGGGGGGACCAUCCUCCAAGGCUAAAUACUCCUGACUGACCGAUAGUGAACCAGUACCGUGAGGGAAAGGCGAAAAGAACCCCUGUGAGGGGAGUGAAAUAGAACCUGAAACCGUGUACGUACAAGCAGUAGGAGCACCUUCGUGGUGUGACUGCGUACCUUUUGUAUAAUGGGUCAGCGACUUAUAUUCAGUGGCAAGGUUAACCGUAUAGGGGAGCCGUAGCGAAAGCGAGUCUUAACUGGGCGUUCAGUCUCUGGAUAUAGACCCGAAACCGGGUGAUCUAGCCAUGGGCAGGUUGAAGGUUGAGUAACAUCAACUGGAGGACCGAACCGACUAAUGUUGAAAAAUUAGCGGAUGACUUGUGGCUAGGGGUGAAAGGCCAAUCAAACUCGGAGAUAGCUGGUUCUCCCCGAAAGCUAUUUAGGUAGCGCCUCGGACGAAUACUACUGGGGGUAGAGCACUGUUAAGGCUAGGGGGUCAUCCCGACUUACCAACCCUUUGCAAACUCCGAAUACCAGUAAGUACUAUCCGGGAGACACACGGCGGGUGCUAACGUCCGUCGUGGAGAGGGAAACAACCCAGACCGCCAGCUAAGGUCCCAAAGUAUUGCUAAGUGGGAAACGAUGUGGGAAGGCUCAGACAGCUAGGAUGUUGGCUUAGAAGCAGCCAUCAUUUAAAGAAAGCGUAAUAGCUCACUAGUCGAGUCGGCCUGCGCGGAAGAUGUAACGGGGCUAAGCAAUACACCGAAGCUGCGGCAAUAUCUUUUAGA
rnacentral:rRNA from 1 species